rnacentral:rRNA from 1 species
AAACUCAAAUGAAUUGACGGGGACCCGCACAAGCGGAGGAGCGCGUGGUUUUAAUUCGAUGGCAAUCGAAGAACCUUUACCAGGGUUUGACAUGUAUCUGCAUAUCUUUGGAAACAUAGAUAGCCUUCGAGGGUGAUACACAGGUACUGCAUGGCCGUCGUCAGCUCGUGUCGUGAGAUGUAGGGUUAAGUCCCGAAACGAGCGCAACCCCUAUCCCAUGUUACAAGUGUCUUGGGAAACUGCCUCGGUAAAACGAGGAGGAAGGUGGGGAUGACGUCUGGUCCGCAUAGUCCUUAUGUCCUGGGCUACACACGCGCUACAAUGGUCGGUACAAUGGGCAGCCAAGCCGUAAGGCGGAGCUAAUCCUGUAAAACCGAUCUCAGUUCGGAUUGUGGGCUGAAACUCGCCCACAUGAAGUUGGAUUCGCUAGUAAUCGUGGAUCAGCCAUGCCACGGUGAAUACGUUCUCGGGUCUU